UAGGGAAUCUUCCGCAAUGGGCGAAAGCCUGACGGAGCAACGCCGCGUGAGUGAUGAAGGUCUUCGGAUCGUAAAACUCUGUUAUUAGGGAAGAACAAAUGUGUAAGUAACUAUGCACGUCUUGACGGUACCUAAUCAGAAAGCCACGGCUAACUACGUGCCAGCAGCCGCGGUAAUACGUAGGUGGCAAGCGUUAUCCGGAAUUAUUGGGCGUAAAGCGCGCGUAGGCGGUUUUUUAAGUCUGAUGUGAAAGCCCACGGCUCAACCGUGGAGGGUCAGUGGAAACUGGAAAACUUGAGUGCAGAAGAGGAAAGUGGAAUUCCAUGUGUAGCGGUGAAAUGCGCAGAGAUAUGGAGGAACACCAGUGGCGAAGGCGACUUUCUGGUCUAUAAAUGACGCUGAUGUGCGAAAGCGUGGGGAUCAAACAGG
rnacentral:rRNA from 1 species